AACGUAGGACGCAAGCGUUAUCCGGAGUUACUGGGCGUAAAGCGCGUGUAGGCGGCUUUGCAAGUCGGGCGUGAAAUCCCACGGCUCAACCGUGGAAGUGCACUCGAAACUGCAGAGCUAGAGUCCUGGAGAGGAAGGUGGAAUGCUUGGUGUAGAGGUGAAAUUCGUAGAUAUCAAGCGGAACACCGGUGGCGAAGGCGGCCUUCUGGACAGUGACUGACGCUGAGACGCGAAAGCGUGGGGAGCAAACAGG
rnacentral:rRNA from 1 species